ensembl:misc_RNA
GAAAGCUUCAACAGCUCUGGGUUAGCUGACAAACUGAUUUUGGUGCUACAAAGUUCAGUAGGUGACCCUGAUUAAGA